rnacentral:rRNA from 1 species
UAAGCGGAGGAAAAGAAACCAACAGGGAUUGCCCUAGUAACGGCGAGUGAAGCGGCAACAGCUCAAAUUUGAAAGCUGGCUCCGGCCCGCAUUGUAAUUUGCAGAGGAUGCUUCUGGUGAGGUGCCUUCCGAGUUCCCUGGAACGGGACGCCAUAGAGGGUGAGAGCCCCGUAUGGAUGGACACCAAACCUGUGUGAAGCUCCUUCAACGAGUCGAGUAGUUUGGGAAUGCUGCUCUAAAUGGGAGGUAAAUCUCUUCUAAAGCUAAAUACCGGCCAGAGACCGAUAGCGCACAAGUAGAGUGAUCGAAAGAUGAAAAGCACCUUGAAAAGGGGGUUAAACAGUACGUGAAAUUGUUGAAAGGGAAGCGCUUGUGACCAGACUUGCGCCGGGCAGCUCAUCAGGGGUUCUCCCCUGUGCACUCUGCCCGGCUCAGGCCAGCAUCGGUUCUCGUGGGAGGAUAAGAACGGUUGGAACGUGGCCCCCCUCCGGGGGGGUGUUAUAGCCUACCGUACGAUACUCCCGUGGGGACCGAGGUUCGCGCUCCGCAAGGAUGCUGGCGUAAUGGUCAUCAGCGACC